GACAUUUCCUAUCCUCUCUUUUGUUAGGGGAUUAACUCAGAAGCAAUCCUUUAUAUGUGAAGCUUUUUCUCUCCCCCACUGAAAUAAAGGAGGAAGAAAGAGGAAGCUGUGUUUCUUUCUGAGAUUUAGGCUUUCUCAGCCUGGAUUUCAUCUUCAUGCAUUGCUGAACAAGGCUGAUUUGGUGAAGAGUUAAUACUAGAAGGCAGCUGAAGGAAAGACUCCUUUGCAAGGGAAUAAAUCACAAGACAAGAUGAAGAUCCUAGUCCUGACUGUGACCAUCUUAAAUUUUGUGGUUUACUUUCUGGUCUUAAACACUGAAUAUCACACUCUUCUUAUGACUCUUGUUAGCGAUUCAAGGACAUAAAUCUUCAUUCUUUUCUGGCACAGACUACUUAAAUGGGUCUGUUUUCACUUUGCUCAUUUUUCUUCAAUAAAUCUUUUUGGCAAGCAACUGAUUUACUGUGUGUAGGUGUGUUUGAUAUUCUACUACAGACUUCUCAAAUUAGGAGAAAUAAAGAGA
rnacentral:lncRNA from 1 species